UACGUAGGGUGCGAGCGUUGUCCGGAAUUAUUGGGCGUAAAGAGCUUGUAGGCGGUCUGUCGCGUCUGCUGUGAAAAUCCGGGGUUCAACCCCGGACUUGCAGUGGGUACGGGCAGACUAGAGUUCGGUAGGGGAGACUGGAAUUCCUGGUGUAGCGGUGAAAUGCGCAGAUAUCAGGAGGAACACCGGUGGCGAAGGCGGGUCUCUGGGCCGAAACUGACGCUGAGGAGCGAAAGCGUGGGGAGCGAACAGG
rnacentral:rRNA from 1 species